UGACCACGUGGACCCCUCCAUG
rnacentral:misc_RNA from 1 species